rnacentral:rRNA from 1 species
GACGUAGGGCGCGAGCGUUGUCCGGAUUUAUUGGGCGUAAAGAGCUCGUAGGCGGCUUGUCGCGUCAACUGUGAAAACCCGAGGCUCAACCUCGGGCCUGCAGUGGGUACGGGCAGACUAGAGUGCGGUAGGGGAGAUUGGAAUUCCUGGUGUAGCGGUGGAAUGCGCAGAUAUCAGGAGGAACACCGAUGGCGAAGGCAGAUCUCUGGGCCGUAACUGACGCUGAGGAGCGAAAGCGUGGGGAGCGAACAGG